CCUACGGGAGGCAGCAGUGGGGAAUAUUGCACAAUGGGGGAAACCCUGAUGCAGCGACGCCGCGUGAGUGAGGAAGUAUUUCGGUAUGUAAAGCUCUAUCAGCAGGGAAGAAAAUGACGGUACCUGACUAAGAAGCCCCGGCUAACUACGUGCCAGCAGCCGCGGUAAUACGUAGGGGGCAAGCGUUAUCCGGAUUUACUGGGUGUAAAGGGAGCGUAGACGGCGAAGCAAGUCUGAAGUGAAAUACCGGGGCUUAACCCUGGGACUGCUUUUGAAACUGAGUAGCUAGAGUGCAGGAGAGGUAAGCGGAAUUCCUAGUGUAGCGGUGAAAUGCGUAGAUAUUAGGAGGAACACCAGUGGCGAAGGCGGCUUACUGGACUGUAACUGACGUUGAGGCUCGAAAGCGUGGGGAGCAAACAGGAUUAGAUACCCCGGUAGUC
rnacentral:rRNA from 1 species